rnacentral:rRNA from 1 species
UGCACAAUGGGCGCAAGCCUGAUGCAGCGACGCCGCGUGAGGGAUGACGGCCUUCGGGUUGUAAACCUCUGUUAGCAUCGAAGAAGCGAAAGUGACGGUAGGUGCAGAGAAAGCGCCGGCUAACUACGUGCCAGCAGCCGCGGUAAUACGUAGGGCGCGAGCGUUGUCCGGAAUUAUUGGGCGUAAAGAGCUUGUAGGCGGUUGGUCGCGUCUGCUGUGAAAGGCUGGGGCUUAACCCUGGUUUUGCAGUGGGUACGGGCUAACUAGAGUGCAGUAGGGGAGACUGGAAUUCCUGGUGUAGCGGUGGAAUGCGCAGAUAUCAGGAGGAACACCGAUGGCGAAGGCAGGUCUCUGGGCUGUAACUGACGCUGAGAAGCGAAAGCAUGGGGAGCGAACAGGAUUAGAUACCCUGGUAGUCCAUGCCGUUAAACGUUGGGGCACUAGUGUGGGGGACAUUCCACCGUUUUCCGCGCCGUAGCUA